UCAGGGUUCUUUCUCUAAUCUGCACACAGCAAGCAGCAACAGAAAUGUAAGUUCCUGUACUGAAGUUAAGGUUUAGCAUUAGCAUGUAGCUUAGCAUUAGCAACAACUUGUAUUAGUUUAUUGUUUGAAUUUAUACAGAACUUUGGUAAUGACUAAACUUCUUGUGUCUUGUAGUUUUCACUCCUUCAAUCUGGUGAAGAAAUGAAAAGAGGAGAUCAUCUCUUUGCUCCCUUCAGAGCACUUCCUGUUGAUAAAUCCAGAGCUACAGAUUCACAGAUAUAAGAAGACCGAGGAGUUCAGAUGAAAAGAAACAAAGCUACAUGGACAGACAGCAUCGUUAACAAAAACAGGCCAAUCAGAGUCCACAUUUUGAAGGUCUCGGUCUGGGACUAGAAGGAAAAAACAUCAAAUAACUUCAGUCCCCGGUUACGACCACAACCUUCCUGGUGUUACGCUCCAACUGUUUGUACAGGUUGCUCCUCCUCGUAUUUGCUCCGCUCGUGGCAACAAUAUUAUUUGACUUUUCUUUCACAAAGCUGAACUGUACCUGUAGGUCUGUCUUGAUGAGCGAGGCUCCUGCUUGGACCAGAUAAUGACAGAUAGUUCUUUGAGACAGGGACGCAG